CGAUUUUAUUCCGGAUAGGCUAUACAAAAUACGAUUAAACCGAUUGGCCAGAUAUUUCCCUGGUGUCUAUCGUAUAACAAAUCACUUGCCGUAUUGUGUUCUCCUCCUUUAGUUUUGAAUGUUGAUACCUUACAGAUGAAAAUUGCAAAGAGACAUGCAAUUAUUUUUAUCGCGAUGCCAAAGCAAAGUAGUAUUAAGUAGUAAUUUCUUUACAAAAAUAAGUCAACUAAAUAUAUAGAUGCGAACAGAAUAUACUACAAAUCAUGCAGAUCGAAUCCGAACCGCGUUAAGGAACUUAAAAGAAUACUCUUCACCC